GAUGAACGCUGGCGGCGUGCUUAACACAUGCAAGUCGAACGAAGCGCUUAAAUGGAUUUCUUCGGAUUGAAGUUUUUGUGACUGAGUGGCGGACGGGUGAGUAACGCGUGAGUAACCUGCCUUUCAGAGGGGAAUAGCGUUUGGAAACGAACGGUAAUACCGCAUAACGUAUGAGUGCCGCAUGACACACAUACCAAAGAUUUUAUCGCUCUGAGAUGGCCUCGCGUCUGAUUAGCUGGUUGGUGGGGUAACGGCCUACCAAGGCGACGAUCAGUAGCCGGACUGAGAGGUUGACCGGCCACAUUGGGACUGAGACACGGCCCAG
rnacentral:rRNA from 1 species